UACGUAGGGGGCUAGCGUUGUCCGGAAUCAUUGGGCGUAAAGAGCGCGCAGGCGGUCGUUCAAGUCGCGUGUGAAAGCCCCCGGCUCAACUGGGGAGGGUCACGCGAUACUGAUCGACUCGAAGGCAGGAGAGGGUAGUGGAAUUCCCGGUGUAGUGGUGAAAUGCGUAGAUAUCGGGAGGAACACCAGUGGCGAAGGCGACUACCUGGCCUGUUCUUGACGCUGAGGCGCGAAAGCUAGGGGAGCAAACGGGG
rnacentral:rRNA from 1 species